rnacentral:rRNA from 1 species
GUGAGGAAUAUUGCGCAAUGGAGGCAACUCUGACGCAGCCAUGCCGCGUGCAGGAAGAAGGCGCUACGCGUUGUAAACUGCUUUUAACCGGGAAGAAACCCCAGGACGUGUCCUGGGUUGACGGUACCGGAGGAAUAAGCACCGGCUAACUUCGUGCCAGCAGCCGCGGUAAUACGAAGGGUGCAAGCGUUAUCCGGAUUCAUUGGGUUUAAAGGGUGCGUAGGCGGAGCGUUAAGUCAGUGGUGAAAUCCUGCAGCUUAACUGUAGACUUGCCAUUGAUACUGGCGCUCUUGAGUGCGCUUGAAGUGGGCGGAAUGUGCCGUGUAGCGGUGAAAUGCUUAGAUAUGGCACAGAACACCAAUUGCGAAGGCAGCUCACUAAGGCGAUACUGACGCUGGGGCACGAAAGCGUGGGGAUUGAACAGGAUUAGAUACCCGAGUAGUCC